ensembl:lncRNA
AUGCUUACAUGUGUAUAUGUAUGUGCAGAUAAACAUAUCUAUCUCAAUUUUGGGGAGAUCUUAUUACCAAAUGUCAGUUCAGUGAAAAGACUCACAUGUGAGAUAGUGAUAAUUAUGUUUAGUGAGCAGGAAGCCACACAAGAACCAGACCUACUGAAAUCUCAUUUCCUAUCAAUUUCUGUCCGCGUAACUACGUAUUCCCUCCACCUUCACCUGCAAGAGCACUGGCCUGCUCUGCAGCCCCUCUGUGGUGUGUUUUCUCAAACAACUCCCCCCUCAUGUCCCUUAUGCCCCUUUUUUUUUUUUUUUUUGUCCUCAGCUUCCUACUAUGUGCAAGGCAAGGAAAAGGCUGCACUAAUGCUGGUCCUGCAGAGCGGGGAUGCCAACUGGCUGAGCCCCUCUGCUGUGGGGCUGCGUGGCAGGACAAAUGGAACAGGCACUUUCAAACGGUGCACUCAUCGAGGUCUCCGUCUCUACUGGAUGGGCUUAAAGAUGCGUAGAUGUCAGCACUGCAGACUGGUCUGAUGGCGCCGUGGUCACUUACAUUCAUCAUUACAGCAUUUGGGGGCUGUGGCUGCCGAUACGCGCAGGGUGACCUUCCUGCUUCUGAACACUGUUAAGUCCUAAUGGCAGGAGACCUCUGCAUCCUGAGGGAAGGAUUUAAACCACCGAAUCUCUGCUGGCUGGCAGAAGAGAAUUUACCAGCCCUUGGAGGAAAGCUAGGUGAAAUCCACACAACCUCUGGAGCAGCCUGUGGCAGCAGAGGAUCCCUCCUCCCAUGGAAGCGGUGUUCACACCGCUCGGGUGCCGCAGUGCUGUGCCGGCAGUCCCACCACAGCCCCCAGCAGAGGCACCUGGCGAGGCGGCCUCCAGCCCAGCUCAACAACAUGAGCUAAACGAGCCCAAGUGCUUUCUGCAAGCACAGCUGUGCCCAGCUCGGGGCCGUCCCUGGCAUCGCUAGGUGCGAUUUUUCCAUGCUUGUAGCCAGCAUAGCUAUGCUUGUAAAACUUUGUAGUAGAGACCUGGCUGGAAUCCUUCAGAUCCUCGCUCUCAGCCUUGGCAAAGCAAGCCUUCCAACUGCUGGAGCCAAGGCAGCUACGUUCUUCCCAUUUAAUAGUCCAAACCUUGUUCUUUCAGUGAUCAAAAAAGUUGUUCCUGCAGGAAUGGCUUAUCUCUCUGUUCACUGCUUCAUACCCUGCCUGAAACACUACCAAUAUCCAUCCUGUGCUUUUGGAAAGGCAAAUCAAAUUCUGUGCACGCGCUUCUGGCACACUGAAAGCUUUUGGUUGCCUGUGUCCAAAGGGCUUACUUGUACAUGUGUACAGUGCUGGGUUUGCUGCAGAAAAUACCACAUUUCCAAACCCUCUGCAAGGAACCAGUGCUGAAGUUCUGCCUCCCUGGUCUUGUAUUGAUGUUUCUUUAGCCGAUGGCAUGUUAGAAUGCAAGUUUUAUUUACCCAGGGUAAUGUUUAAUUUUGUCCAUGUGCUGAGGUGAUAAAGUACUUAAAUACAUUAGGUGAUAUUUUCCUAAUGCCAUUUGGUGUGUUUAUGAUGUGUUGUUAUUUUUCAGAGAUAAAAAGUGGCUGAAAGAGCAUCAGAGCGUGGAAGAGAUAUGCAUGAGUGUUGGGCUGCCACCAGAGAAAAAAAGAGAGACAGAUAUGAAAGAGAACGGAUGUUGUGGUUAGUACUUUAUUUUCAUCCUUCGCAUGAGCAUUUCUGGAAGAGUUCUGGUGUGAUAUGGUGGGGUUAAGAUAAGCAGUAGCUGCCAAAUUGCAUGAAAAAGUUGGGUAGAGAUGAAUGACUGCAAUUUUCCCCAGUCACCUCACGGCGGUGCUUCUCUUAUCGGUCUCUCAUUCAUUUGGACAGAAUGUCUUACCACACGAUAGGAUGUGAAACUUGGCCAUCAGGGGAGGUUCACAGAUCAUUCACUGGCACUUUCAGCACUUAGAGAAGUUGAUUGUAAUCUCAGAAAGAUUCUCAAAUAUUUUUGAGUGCUGGUUUCAAAAGCAACAUAUAAAUGCUGUGAGUUGGUGCUGUCUGCUGAAAUCCUCUGAAGCUACACAGCAGUGUUUCUGCUAGAAGUAGGCACUGGGCAAAGAAACCUGACUUACACAAGUGCAAGAUUUUGGACCUGAAAACAAUCAAAGUCCAGAAUGAAAGCGGGCCAAAGAAAGAGUGGGGCUCACAUCACCUCAGUUCUAUUUUAAAGAACAGUUGCUGGAUCAUACCAUGCAUGGAUAGUGACGAUGGAUGUUCUCCCAAUGAUACUUUACAAUGUUUUCAGUGGUAAAUUUGCUCGGCUUUGUAAAAUCCUGAUAUAAGGGAAAAAGUAAUAUACAUUAAGUUUAUUGAAGCUCAUUAAUAUGAUGAAAUAUAUUGGGAGGAUUGAUUUAUUCACAAUAUUAAACAUCUACUUACAUGAAACUGCUUUCUGGCUGGGAACAUGAGAACACGCGUUGGUUGCUUGCUGAUUUUGUUAAUAAAU